AGCGUAGGCGGGCGCUUAAGUGGGAUGUUUAAAACCGGGGCCCAACCCCGGAGCGGCAUUCCAAACUGGGCGUCUCGAAUAGGGGAGAGGUCGAUGGAAUUGGAGGUGUAGCGGUGGAAUGCGUAGAGAUCUCCAAGAACACCGGUUGCGAAGGCGGUCGACUGGACCCAUAUUGACGCUGAGGCUCGAAAGCAUGGGGAGCAAACA
rnacentral:rRNA from 1 species